rnacentral:rRNA from 1 species
AUGGCGGACGGCGAGGAGCUCGACGUGUACGGCGGGAGGCUCGCGGCGAUGACGGCGAGGUACGCCAACCUCGGGGAGACAUUGGGCGACGCGGCGCUCGUCAAGAAGUUGUUGGAUACGGUGCCGGAUCGCCUCUUCCCCGUCGUCGCCGGCAUCGAGCAGUUUCACGACGUGACGAUGAUGGCGUUCGACGAGACGCUCGGGCGGCUGCGCGCGUUUGAUGAACGGGUUCGGCGCCGUGGACAAGACGGCGGCGAGCGUGGCGGCGAUCAGCUGAUGCUCACCAUGGCGCAGUGGCGGGCGCGGGAGCGGCAGCAGGAAGGAGCGCGCGACGACGACGAUGGGCGGAGCAUGGCGUCGGGCUUCGGCGGCAACCGCCACGGACGCUGCUACAAGUGCGGCGAGCGCGGCCACUUCAAGAGGGACUGCCCCAAGCUGCAAAGGGAGCCGGCGGUGGAGCGCGCGCUGAUGGCGGACGCCGGCGUUGAAAACGGCGGACUCCUCUGA